UACGUAGGGACCAAGCGUUGUUCGGAUUUACUGGGCGUAAAGGGCGCGUAGGCGGUCCUGAUCGUCGGAUGUGAAAGGCCUGGGCUCAACCUGGGAACUGCAUCCGAUACGGCGGGACUGGAGUGUGGGAGAGGUUGGUGGAAUUCCCAGUGUAGAGGUGAAAUUCGUAGAUAUUGGGAAGAACACCGGUGGCGAAGGCGGCCAACUGGACCACAACUGACGCUGAGGCGCGAAAGCGUGGGGAGCAAACAGG
rnacentral:rRNA from 1 species